AACACCCACAAACAACGUCACGACGCAACGUGGUUAAACAGUACGUUUUAUUAAAGCCGGAGGAGGAACACCGCCGAGGCGGACUGGAAACCGAAAGCGCGUGGGAGCCAAGGAAACGACGGGGUUUUCGGGACAUCCUCUUCGGCGCGGCUGGGAACGCGGCCCGGCGCGCGACGUGACUUACCUCGGACGGGCCGACCGGACACGCGACGCGGAUUCCGCGGACUCCCGGCGUGACGGUGCAGAGGCUGGGGAGAGAACAGAGAGAGAGAGAGCGGUGAGCGUCGCGGGAAGCGGAGAGGCACCGACUGCGCGGCUCGCCCCAGGUAGGUGGUCCUUUAUUUUUUUUCUUCUGUAGUUUUUUCUUCUGCGGUUAGAUAGUUUCUGUAGGAACCAAUUAUCAAUCUGACGGGUUAUCGUCACCACUUGAUGGCAAAACAAAAAUUGCUUUCCUUUGCCUUGAGGUCUUCUCCCCCGCCGCGAUCUAUCCUCUCUCUUCUUCAGAGAUUUUUGUAGUAAUCGUCGAAAAAAGGGUGGACGAAAUCAUGGCAAGAAGAAAAUAUACUGAAUAAACUGUGUGCAAAACUACUAACAACAAGAAUAGCGACUUAGAUACACCACGGACAAUCUCAGCAGAUACUCUCUCGAAAGAAAAUGAACCGUCUGUGCGGACGAUGACGACGGUAACGUCGGAGAAUCUGGUAUCUACUGCCUUAAGGAAGAAUCUUUUUUUUUCGUCCAUGUAUUGUUUCAACAAAACAAGAAUAAUGAAAAUAACACUCCUAGAGAACAACAAUUUUUCUAUAGACUGAAAAAAAUAAGAGAAGAAUAGCACCUUCAUAGAUUCAUUUCAGCUUUCUACUCCUUGUAAUGAUGAUAUGAUAUAAUGAUGAUGAUAAUUUAAAGUUGCACUAAACGAAGCUCUUAGAUGAGAAAUAAAAGCAAGAAGAACAGUCCUAAAGGUCCGAGCUGCCCCGGCUUUUCUCUCGGUUCUUCUUCUCUUUCCCAGGAAGAGCAGCAAGCAGCGCGACGAUCGCCGAUCAUCUCUAACCACGUAACAUUCUUCACUUUAUAGAGACACACACUUGUUUAUUGUAAAAUCAUAGAGAUCGUCAUGACAACAACCCUCGAUUUUGCUAAAAGAGAUACUCGAAAUCCUACUUUACACCCAGGACCCUACAUCAUCGCAGGAAGAUGAAUCUCGACACGCACGAAACGAAUGAGUCGUACACGAAUGUACACGAAUCAAAAGCCACAGACCCACUAUUUCUGUCGUCAGGACCCAUCAUACUACAUACCGCGUGUCCGUCUGUCUUCCUUCUUUUUAGUUUCGACGCCAUCACGGAUGGUUUUGAUCUGUCGUUGUGUGUGUUGUGAGAACUGUGUUUGAAUUUUUCUGAAUCUGCGAAAAUCAUACUACGAAUAUAGUUACGGAGAAGCAAUUCUGUUAAUUCAGUACUUUAGCAGCAAAAGAAGAACAAAUGUACGAAAACCACAAGACCCGUACGUUGUUUUAGAUCUGUCAGUCGGGAUGAUGAUUCUCGUUCGAAGAAGAUUUUUUUCUCCUAAACCAACAGAUAAUAUGGUUACCACUUCUUUCCAUAGUAGUGUCACUUUACUUUCACGGAAGAUGCAACCCCCGACGAAAAAAUCAAGCCAGACUUGUUAACAACGAUCAUCGAACGCCUAGCAAUUCUUCAAAGCAAUAACGACGAGAAGUAGACGAAGACCCGCGCCCGCGUGCCGCCGGCGGCACGCGCGAAAGGAAAACCAGAAUAAUAAGAACGAAAAUAUACACAGGCUGACCUUGAAAACCGAGCCUAGAUGAUAAGAUGUAUAUAGUAUAGAUAGCUAUAGGGUCGUAGUAGGUCCUUCUACGACCGAGUAGAUGAUGAUAAGAACCCCAUAAACAGGAUAUAAUCGAGCAUCCAAACAACCCAAAAAAGAAACCACGACCACCACUAGUAUCGCGCCGCGUCUCUGUCUCCGCGUACGAGGAGGCUGCCGCCCCCUCCUCCCGCCGCGGUCUGCUGUGUCCGUCUCCUCGCCUCUCCUCCCACAUCAUCCUCUGCCGUGCCGUCGCGCCUUCGGCGUUCUGCGGUGUGCGCGGGUUUCGUCACCGGGGAACGCGAACGCGAGCCGCAGAGAGCCACGACGACGAGGAAGAGGAGGACGACGACGAUAACGACGACAACCACAACGAUGACCCCGGGGAGGCGGCAGCGACGACGAGUACGACGACGACGGCUACCACCAGGCAACCCGGGAGAAGCGCGCGCGCCUUUCACGAGAGGUGGAGACGGACAUUUUUCUUUUUCAAGUUGAAAUCAUAGUAUAUCAAAGAAUGGAAACAAAAGAAUGAAGAAAAACCAACCACAAACAACAUGAUGAUGAUAAAAAGUAAAAGAACAACAGCAUGGAGGGGAGCGGGGAUCUCCUUGGACUCCUCCUCCUUCCCUUAUCUCCUCAUUCCGAGGAUGAUCUCACGCCACGGCACGAGAAAUCAUCCAAAGCAAUCACCACCAACAAACAACACCACCACCUUGAUAAGAUAGAAAGUACAAAGACGAAAAGAGAACAAGAGAACGCUCAUCGCGGCGGCGCCUCCUCUUCCUCGUUCGCCGAAGAAGACGAACGGAGGAGGCCGAUGACGACGAUGAGGAGAAGCAACCGUUACGCUCGCGCCUCCGCGCAGCGCCUCACGGCCGGUCCGUGACGAACUCGGGAGUCGUUCGCGACUCCGUCCAACCCCCCAGUAACCGUUAAGCGUUUAGACAAGACAACGUGUACACACCUUCUUUUUAUAGACCCUGAUUCACUUCUUUAGGAUAGCAACACAAUAUGAUAUAGAGAUUAUAGAUAGUACCGAUAAUGAUGAUAGCUUUUUUUUGUUAUGCUGAUGAUAAGUUUUUCCAUAUCUCCUCUCGUUAGGAACCGUUAUAGAGAUCUUAGAUGAAGAUAGAUGAAGCCAUAGUCUGAAUAGUCAUGAUGUUAGGAAUACUACUAUACUACUACCAUUACUCCUACUACUACUGUAAUUACGAUGAACUACUAUCACCUUAGUACAUACAUACACCACCCCCCUUCUAGGAGGAACGAUGAUGAUAAGAAUAAUACAUCAUGUAGCGUUAAGGACAUUGUUAAGCCUUGAAACGACAACAUCAAAAGUUGUUGACCAGAAUCGAUCACCACCAUACCGUAAUCACGAAGCAAAAACUAGAAACGGAUGGAUAGCUGUAAGUCUCACCUAGCUAACAAUCACAUUUUUCUCCAUAAUUAGUCACCGCAACCAUGAAUAAUACGAAUGGUUCAACGAUAACAACCAUCCUUAGUCAAUAAGAAGUUUAUAUUUGAAUCUUUGGAUCGUAACUACCGAAUAUCAUCGAAAAAUCAUGUUUUUAAGUCUCGCUUUUUAUUUUUUUCUCUGUAAGCUGAUAAAAACUUUGUGUCAGAAAACGAAAACAAAAGUAUGAUAGUUGGGUUUUUUCCACCCCAAAAGUUAGAAACAUUAAGAAGUAAGUAGGUUCUGGAUAAUUUUUAUAAACACUUUUAUUACGUUGAUUUUGGUGAAUAUAGUCUCGGUAAGUCCUUAGUGGGUAAGUUCUGUUUAUUAUUAGUUAGAGUAAUCUUAGGGUUACUUUUUUUGUUCUGUCUCCUCUCCCCCUCCGCUAGAGACGAUACCCUGCGUCGGGAGGUGUAGCUUUUGGUUAAGAAACAUUUUUGUGUAUAUAUAUAGCUUAGAAGAAUAGAUAUAAUCCCCUGUACGUAGUCUCUUUUUAUGUGUUUUGCUUAAGAAAAAUUGAAGCUGAAUAGGAAUAUUAGCAUACUAACACGACGAUAAGACUAACGAUUAGGUAAGCCUUAGUGAGUAGACGCGUAGCUCGUGUAAAAUGAUGAAGAAUGAGUAGUUUAUUUUUAGUGACUUGUAACUCGACUCGGUAGACUUCUCAGAGUUUCGCCUCGCAGGCGGGUACGUUAAUCGUCAUAGAUCCGAUAGAUAAUUCCUAAAGGGUAAGAAAACAUAGCAGAUAAAUUGAUAGAUGACCGAUAUUAUACUUCAUUAAACUCAUGAAGAAGAUGACUGUAAGUAAGGAUAUUGUUGUUUUUUUAUCCAACACCCAUGUAAUCAUUGUUUUUGAUGGUAUAUUUUGUCGAGAUAGUAGCCAGGUUAUAAGGAUCAUAUAUAUCGUCAGGAAACCUAAUGAUAAGUCGUAUGAUUUUUUUUGUUAGACCAUAAUGUUGACGAUUUUUUUUGUAGAGAUAAAACAAUAAGACACCAUAGGAUUCUGAAUUUACCAUGAUAAGUUUCUUUUUAGAAGAUUGAUAUCUGUCCUUUGUAGGAAAAAAAAAGACGAUAGGCCCUUCUUCGCCUACCUAAAAAAAGAAUCAUAAUGUUCGAAAACACAAGCUUCCAUAACAAGAACCCGUACCGAAGAAAGUUCCAUCGCUUGAUAAGAUAGUGAAACCAAAAAAAAGACGUCGAUGAUGUUUUCGCUCGACACGAUUAUCACACCGCACGCUAUAUACACAAAUCGCCGCGGGCGGCGGCGUCGCUACCAGCGCCGUCGUCGCCCAGCCUCAGGCCACGAAUGACAACAACCAAUAUGGGCAAAGUCCAAUUAGCUAAUAUCUGCCUAUCGAUAGGUUUCGAAUGCGUGAUACACAGGACGCACGAUAAAAGCUUCCUUACAGCAUAACUGUAACGAUCAUCGAACAUCUCCUCAUACCUUUCUCCUCUCACCUUUAUAAAACAAACCAAAAAUAAAAACCUCUUUUGUCAAGGAAAUCUUGAUACAUGUACCACCACAUCACUUUCUGCUCGAUCUCGAAGACGAGCGCGUGCGCGCAUGCAGAUGAUGCGAAAUCACAAAGAAGAUACACACGUACACUCUAUAGACCAACGUCGAAACAGCAGCGUACGGCCUCCCGCACGCACUCGCGCGGAGGAUGUUCUGAAAAGAAUUCCAAAAACCCGAUUACAAAACUAAUAAGUUAGGGAAACAAAAUACGAAAAAAUAGACGAAAAGGUCUCUAUUCUGCUACAUGAGAGAAAUUACAUACAUAGCUGUUGGCAAAUAAAUUUUUUGAGAUACACACGAUUUAUUAUAUCCUCUCUCUUCCACACGGGAUCACGGAUAUUACCAGUGCGUAUUGUUCAAAAAGAAAAACAGACUCAGAAAUUUGUGGAGCAGAAUGACGAUCGAACGGAGCGGCGUCCAAUCCCGCCUCCCCCCGUACGCGGCCGCCGUUGCCCCGGAAAGGCGACGGGUCUCUUGCUCUUGGUCGGACCUCGCGGCGGCGUAUGACGGCGGGACUGGAGUCGCUCCCACCCGGGCUUCUCUCUUGCAGGUGCGGCACGGACACGGACGAAGAAACGGAAAAAGAGACAGUGACGGUGACGACGCGGACCCACUGAACGGCACAGUCUACGGAGGACGACCUCACCAGGAGAAGACGACUGGCGAAGAAGCACACCGUAAGCGGAGGGAACGGGGGUGUUUUUUUUUCCUGCUCAAUAAAGUACGGAGGAGACCGUCGCGAUCUCUUUC
rnacentral:lncRNA from 1 species